CUCUAUGCUCGUCUCGUAAGUUUGUUUAUAGUGAUAUCUGUGUUUACGAAUUCUCUUCCUAAUAGUCCGCUGAAAACGAAUUCAAAGUGAAAUAGGUGCGAUAAUGCUACUUAGAUUCAGUGAAGUACAGUAACCGCGACCCAAGCUGCAGAAAUUCAUCAGAGGUUCAUUUUCCAACACUCCGCCUGUGACCAAAAGAUAUUGGAGAUUUUGGCCUAAAAUCCUGCACUAAAACUAAGCCGAAUACGCAAAGAUCCAAUAAGGAGUGAAGUCGCGGAAGAAGCGUCCCUUUUGGAUCAAUCCCUUCGAGGAAAGGACAAAACACCCAACGAUUGUCUUCAAUUGACUUCCAGUAAGAUUCUGUAAAGCGCGGUAGACUGGGAGGCGAUCUGCGGGCGGCGCCAAAUAGGCGACACUAUGCCAACAUCACGACCUGCCAGCACCGAGCGCUGGCUGACACUCGCUGACGAAAUGCCAAAUAUGAGGCCCUUUUGACAGCGACGGACAAGUGCUUGUAAGCGGGGACUUUCUCCGCUGUACAGAAGGUCCUCGUGAAGGAGUUCGCGUUGAACGGGACUGCCAAAGCCGUAGUUUGUGUGAACGCGAAGGUAAUUCAUUCUAGUCAUAUCUAAUCUCGUGCGCUUUGCUUCACGCUGCUCUCAAGAAACAAAGGGAAAAACUACAAAGCAAAAGUGCUCAUAUAUCGCCAAGAAGAAGAACAUUUCGCCCAGCACCAGCCGAGCCGAGCGCGUCCGUCUCGCGCCCACGAGAAGCGCGGGCGACGCCGUCCGUCGGUGAUCGGAUCUAACGACCCUUGUCCCUGUGGCGCCGAGCGAGCCCCUGGCGGGAAGGAGCGCAAGUGUCGCCGAGGCUGCGGCGGGACGGUCGCCAGUGAUGGUCGCGACGCGUGAGAGCAGCUUCC